rnacentral:rRNA from 1 species
UACGAAGGGGGCUAGCGUUGUUCGGAAUUACUGGGCGUAAAGCGCACGUAGGCGGAUAUUUAAGUCAGGGGUGAAAUCCUGGAGCUCAACUCCAGAACUGCCUUUGAUACUGGCGAGCUUGAGUUCGGGAGAGGUGAGUGGAACUGCGAGUGUAGAGGUGAAAUUCGUAGAUAUUCGCAAGAACACCAGUGGCGAAGGCGGCUCACUGGCCCGAUACUGACGCUGAGGUGCGAAAGCGUGGGGAGCAAACAGG